UACGUAGGGGGCAAGCGUUGUCCGGAUUUAUUGGGCGUAAAGAGCUCGUAGGUGGUUCGGUAAGUCGGAUGUGAAAUCUCCAGGCUCAACCUGGAGGGGUCAUUCGAUACUGCCGUGACUAGAGUUCGGUAGGGGAGUGUGGAAUUCCUGGUGGAGCGGUGAAAUGCGCAGAUAUCAGGAGGAACACCGGUGGCGAAGGCGGAUCUCUGGACCUUACCUGACGCUCAGGUGCGAAAGCUAGGGGAGCGAACAGG
rnacentral:rRNA from 1 species